CCUACGGGGGGCAGCAGUGAGGAAUAUUGGUCAAUGGACGAGAGUCUGAACCAGCCAAGUAGCGUGAAGGAUGACUGCCCUAUGGGUUGUAAACUUCUUUUAUAUGGGAAUAAAAUGUUUCACGUGUGGGAUUUUGUAUGUACCAUAUGAAUAAGGAUCGGCUAACUCCGUGCCAGCAGCCGCGGUAAUACGGAGGAUCCGAGCGUUAUCCGGAUUUAUUGGGGUUAAAGGGAGCGUAGGUGGAUUGUUAAGUCAGUUGUGAAAGUUUGCGGCUCAACCGUAAAAUUGCAGUUGAAACUGGCAGUCUUGAGUACAGUAGAGGUGGGCGGAAUUCGUGGUGGAGCGGUGAAAUGCUUAGAUAUCACGAAGAACUCCGAUUGCGAAGGCAGUUCACUGGACUGCAACUGACACUGAGGCUCGAAAGUGUGGGUAUCAAACAGGAUUAGAUACCCGAGUAGUC
rnacentral:rRNA from 1 species